CAACGAUAAAAAGGUCUCGGCAACACCCACGACACGAAAACACCGUAGAAAAGGGGGGGGGGGCACGGGGGGGGCCCCCAAAAACACCCCCCAACACCCCCCCCCCGCCUGGGGACCGGGCUUGGGGGGGGUCGGGGGGGCCCCAAUAGAUACAAUAAUAAUUAUAAUAAUAAUUAAAAAAGAAAAGGAAUGAAAAAAAAUAAUGGGGGGGGGAAUAACCCCGGGGGGGGGGCAAUAACCCGGGGGGGGGGGCAAUAAACCCCGGGGUGGGGGGGGAAGGACAGAAUCCAGCCCGGAUGGGUGGGAAAUGGGGGGGGUGGGGGGCAUGGGAAAUUGCCCCAUGGGGGGGGGAUACCGGGGGGGGGGGUGGGAAUUGCCCCGGGGGGGUAUAACCCCGGGGGGGGGGGCAAAUCUACCCCAGGGGGGGUCAAAUGUGCCCCGGGGGGGAGGGGAAUCGGGCCAUACAAUAUGAUACAUAGAGACUUUGAGCCUAUACACUAUAUACAGCCCCCCCCGGGGCACCCCCACAUCAACCCCCCCAUAAAAGGGGGGGGACCUUUAAUCCCCCCCCCCCCAAAUCCAGCCAAUGGGGGGGGCAAUUGGCAAUAAAUAGCUGGGGGGGGGUGAUGGUUAAUGUGGGGACCCCCCCCUUUAUUUAACUCCCCCCCCAAUAUGUAUAUACAGGCCAGGCUGGUCCCAAGGGGGGGGGGUGGGGGCGCAAAAAGGGGAUCUCAAGGGGGGGGCUCCCCCUUAAAUCACCCAGAUUUGGGGGGAGGAAGGGGGAGGAGGGGGGGACCCCCUAAAGUGGGUGCUGGGGGUGGGUGCCCCCCCCCCAAACAAAGGGGUCCGCAAGGGGGGGCGGGGGGGCGGCUCCUAAAUAGACAUUUAUACAUAUAUAUAUAAAUAAGGGGGGGGCACCCCAAGUUGGGGGGGGACAACCCAUUGUGAGGGGGGGACACCCAUUGUGAGGGGGGACACCCCAAAAUGACAAGUCCUGGGGGGGGGGACACCCUGUUGUUGAUGCUGGGGGGGCCCUGUGGGAUGGAGGUGGCACCAAGGGGGGGUCCCAAUUAAAGGGGGGGUCUCUACUGGAGUUGGGGGGGCCUGGUACUGGCGGGUCCCCCCCAUUCUGGGGGGGUCCCUGUCC
rnacentral:lncRNA from 1 species